rnacentral:tRNA from 1 species
GCAGGGGUGGUGGAAUUGGUAGACACGAUAGCUUGAGGGGCUAUUGCUUGAUAAAAGCGUGAGGGUUCGACUCCCUUCUUCUGCA